rnacentral:misc_RNA from 1 species
GAAGCUAGGAGCUGAACUUCACUACACUGAGAGAGGGGGAGACAUUACAUUUCAUGGUCCAAAUCAAUCCAUCUUGUAUCCAAUAAUUUCCCUUAGAGAUAUUGGAUUUGGGGCUAGAAAGUAUGUGGAGAAACUAGAACUGACCAUGAUUGAGAUGGCAUGUUUGUAUGGAGUGAAAGCUAGAGCUGGGGAGAAGGGGGAAACAGGAGUUUGGGUUGGAGAUAGGAAGAUUGGAGCCAUUGGAGUUAGAAUUUCAAACGGG